GUGUUCCACGCUGUCGGUUCGCCGCCCGUCGGUGUCAACUGGCAUGUCCUGUGGAACGUCCUGCCGGUGGCGGACCGGGCUUUCGGCUUGCGUAAGGGCUCACGCCCGAAGCAGGCCGAACAGUACCGGCCGCCGGUCCAAUCCCGCCACGGUGCUCUUCACCGAGUGUCGAGGUGGGCCGGCACGUUUACUUUGAACAAAUUAGAGUGCUUAAAGCAGGCUGGUGUCCGCCUGAAUACUGUGUGCAUGGAAUAAUAGAAUAGGACCUCGGUUCUAUUUUGUUGGUUUUCGGAACCCGAGGUAAUGAUUAAUAGGGACAGGCGGGGGCAUUCGUAUUGCGACGUUAGAGGUGAAAUUCUUGGAUCGUCGCAAGACGAACCUAAGCGAAAGCAUUUGCCAAGUAUGUUCUCGUUAAUCAAGAACGAAAGUUAGAGGUUCGAAGGCGAUCAGAUACCGCCCUAGUUCUAACCAUAAACGAUGCCAGCCAGCGAUCCGCCGAAGUUCCUCCGAUGACUCGGCGGGCAGCUUCCGGGAAACCAAAGCUUUUGGGUUCCGGGGGAAGUAUGGUUGCAAAGCUGAAACUUAAAGGAAUUGACGGAAGGGCACCACCAGGAGUGGAGCCUGCGGCUUAAUUUGACUCAACACGGGAAACCUCACCAGGCCCGGACACCGGAAGGAUUGACAGAUUGAGAGCUCUUUCUUGAUUCGGUGGGUGGUGGUGCAUGGCCGUUCUUAGUUGGUGGAGCGAUUUGUCUGGUUAAUUCCGAUAACGAACGAGACUCUAGCCUGCUAACUAGGCGAUUCCGGUACCCACAAUAGUGUUACCGGCGAUUCAAUUUCUUCUUAGAGGGACAGGCGGCUCCUAGCCGCACGAGACUGAGCAAUAACAGGUCUGUGAUGCCCUUAGAUGUCCUGGGCCGCACGCGCGCUACACUGAAGGAAUCAGCGUGUCUUCCCUGGCCGACAGGCCCGGGUAACCCGUUGAACCUCCUUCGUGCUAGGGAUUGGGGCUUGCAAUUGUUCCCCAUGAACGAGGAAUUCCCAGUAAGCGCGAGUCAUAAGCUCGCGUUGAUUACGUC
rnacentral:rRNA from 1 species